rnacentral:rRNA from 1 species
CACUGCCGAGAAAAGCCUCUAGAUAGAAAAUAGGUGCCCGUACCGCAAACCGACACAGGUAGUCAAGAUGAGAAUUCUAAGGUGAGCGAGCGAACUCUCGUUAAGGAACUCGGCAAAAUGACCCCGUAACUUCGGGAGAAGGGGUGCUCUUUAGGGUUAACGCCCAGAAGAGCCGCAGUGAAUAGGCCCAAGCGACUGUUUAUCAAAAACACAGGUCUCUGCUAAACCGUAAGGUGAUGUAUAGGGGCUGACGCCUGCCCGGUGCUGGAAGGUUAAGAGGAGUGGUUAGCUUCUGCGAAGCUACGAAUCGAAGCCCCAGUAAACGGCGGCCGUAACUAUAACGGUCCUAAGGUAGCGAAAUUCCUUGUCGGGUAAGUUCCGACCCGCACGAAAGGCGUAACGAUUUGGGCACUGUCUCAACGAGAGACUCGGUGAAAUCAUAGUACCUGUGAAGAUGCAGGUUACCCGCGACAGGACGGAAAGACCCCGUGGAGCUUUACUGUAGCCUGAUAUUGAAAUUCGGCACAGCUUGUACAGGAUAGGUAGGAGCCUUUGAAACGUGAGCGCUAGCUUACGUGGAGGCGCUGGUGGGAUACUACCCUAGCUGUGUUGGCUUUCUAACCCGCACCACUUAUCGUGGUGGGAGACAGUGUCAGGCGGGCAGUUUGACUGGGGCGGUCGCCUCCUAAAAGGUAACGGAGGCGCUCAAAGGUUCCCUCAGAAUGGUUGGAAAUCAUUCAUAGAGUGUAAAGGCAUAAGGGAGCUUGACUGCGAGACCUACAAGUCGAGCAGGGUCGAAAGACGGACUUAGUGAUCCGGUGGUUCCGCA